rnacentral:ncRNA from 1 species
UUUGGUCCUAGCCUUGUAGUCAAUUUUUACUUAAUUUACACAUGCAAGUAUCCGCACCCCUGUGAGAACGCCCUUUAACCCCCCCUCCCGGGACAAGGAGCCGGUAUCAGGCCCAUUUAUCACGCCCAAGACACCUAGCCAUGCCACACCCUCAAGGGACCUCAGCAGUGAUCAACAUUGAUUAUCAGCGACAGCUCGAUUCAGUUAAAGUAAACAGAGCCGGCUAAUCUGGUGCCAGCCGCCGCGGUUACACCACGUGGCUCAAAUUGACCUCAAUCGGCGUAAAGAGUGAUUUAAGACUCCUAUUUAUUGGUGUCAAAUUUGAACUAAGCUGUGACACGCUUGUCCCUUAGAAGCCCUAAAACGAAAGCUACACCAACUAAACCAACUUGAACUCACGACAGCCAAGAAACAAACUGGGAUUAGAUACCCCACUAUGCUUGACAGUAAACCUUAAAUUACACCUAAAUCGCCCGGGAACUACGAGCUAAGCUUAAAACCCAAAGGACUUGACGGUACCCCAAAUCCACCUAGAGGAGCCUGUCCUGUAAUCGAUAACCCCCGCUUUACCUCACCACUUCUUGUUAAUCAGCCUGUAUACCUCCGUCGUCAGCUUACCCCGUGAGCGAAACACAGUGAGCUUAAUGCCAUUUCACCAAUACGUCAGGUCAAGGUGCAGCUUAUGAAGUGGAAAGAGAUGGGCUACACUCCCUAAUUUAGGAUACACAAUAAACUACUUAUGAAAUCUAGUCUUAAGGCGGAUUUAGAAGUAAAAAGGAAUCAGAGAGUCCUUUUUAACCUGGCACUGGGGUGUGUACACACCGCCCGUCACCCUCUUCAAAGUCUCACUACAGUUUUUAACCCAACAAGACAAUAACAGAAGAGGUAAGUCGUAACAUGGUAAGUAUAC